UCCGGCCAUCACACCCCUGUCAACAGAUUGGCACAUCUGAGUGGGAAGGAUUUCAGCAGGGAGUUUGUGUUCUGUGGGCUUACUUGGUUCUAGCAGAAAAUUCCGACCAGCAGCACCCCUUGUUCCAGAAAUCAAUAAGGCUGAGAAAUAAGGACUUGACGCGAGACGAGUAUCUCGACGUCAGAUUUGGACCUGAUAGGAUUGGA